UGGUACACGGAACCAAGAUGGAU
rnacentral:piRNA from 1 species